UAGCAGCGAGUGGGUUUUGAUCUACAGAGCUCUGGGUUAUGGGCCCAGCACGCUUCCACUGCGCCACGCUGCU